ACUGGUGGCUUUCACUGUAAUCAGGCAGAGAGUGGUUUUCAGGUGAUAAUGUCCCUCACUCCAGCCUAGCCUGCUUGACAGUGACGCUUGCCAGACACAUGCUCUGCCCCAGGGUGUAUUUAUAGCCUUCUUCAUACACAAGUUAAAGGAUGUGUUUUGUGGGUUUUGUUUUUUUGUGUAUCACCCCAAACAAUAAAGUCCAGGAAUCAAGUUAUCUUGCAAGGUCCAGACCACAUGCUCUUGAAAACCUGCCAGGCUUUCUGAUCUUCCAGCAGCCGCUCUCAGCUCUCACCGUGAGCAGCGGCUACCGAUGGCUGCGGGCGGGGCUGGCAGACCGGGGCAUUCCCUGGGGCCCUCCCUGAGUUGUGGAGAGGGCCUUGGCUGCUUCUCUAACUCCAAGAACAUGGUCGGUGUAAGACAUAGCUUGCUUGUAUAAAGACCUCCUGAUCCCAAACUUCAUCUUCUCCGCCUUCCUUUCUCCUGGUCCUCUCUCUCGGGACCCUGUGGCUGGAGAAUGACCUGCUGAUCCAGGUCAUAACACAUUAUAAAUUUGCUUGAAUUGCCCUCUAAAGGCCGCAAGGCAACCUCAACAGGAGUCUAACUCCAUGUAACCUAAACAGCCUUGCAGGACUUGGAGCUUCCUGUAGUGUAAGGGGGCGGGGAUAUGGACCAUGGCGCGCUCUGUGGGGAAUAAGGAGACAGUGCUGACCAUAGCGGGCCAUGCGCUCCAUGGCUCUGGACUCCUCAGAGCACGGAGGCUCAGGCCACACGGUUCCUAAAGUCUGGCACAUUGAACCCUAAUGGGAGCUGUGGUUCCCCAGCCUUGAUCAGGUAACUCUGUCUUCCUGGGAAGCGAGCUCUCACCAUCUCUGAAUGGUGCUGCAGCUUCUCUGACGGCAGCUUAGUAACUUCGGAAAUCUUCGGGAGGCUGUUCUUUAGUGUAAAUUUCAAUCUCUCGAAACGAAUCUUCCUGAAAGCUAAGGAAGCAGCGGAAAUGAUUUAAAGCCUGGUAUCCUCCUCCACUCCUGCGCUUCCCUCUCUGCCCAGAAUUCGGUUCCCACCAGCGCAGCCUCGGGGACACGAGUUUCCACGUGUUGAGCCCAGUGAGCCUCGGCGAAUUGCAAACUUCCACCCUAAAGAAUUGCUCUUCCUACUCGAUCAUUCAACUGCUACAUCCUGAGCCUCCAUUGCAUCCCAGGGACGGCACAGUAUGAACAGUAGACACAGUUCCGUCCUCGAGAUGACAUGUUCUGGGAGCACGCAAGAUGUAGGUAGCGUCUUCGCUCUUAGCUGUUAUUCUUUGGCUUUUUGAGAAAAAGAUCUUACCAUGUAGCCCUGGCUAGCCCGGAGCUCUUCAUACAGAGAGGCGGCCCUGGCUAACCUGGGCUUGAUAGACAGAGAGGCGGCCCUGGCUAGUCCAGCGCUCGGGGGACAGAGAGGCGGCCCCUGAGGUCUCAGUUCUGCCUCUUCCUCACAAUGUUGGCUACAGACAUGCACUGCCAUACCCGGUUUAAAAAGUGGUCUUUAAAGAAAGACAGGGACACUCAGUCCUCACCUUCCACCGUGGAAUCCCAGGGAAUGAAUCAGGUGGCCAGGCUUGGCAGCAAUGCUGAAUGAAGCAUCCUGCCAACCCAAGAGACUAAUUUUUAUCUUAAAAACCCAAACACACAAAUUCAGUUAUGGACCUGAUUCUAAAAAAGAAAAGCAAUUAUCUCAUUUUUUUAAAGUUGGGCGGAACCUUGGGAGGGAACGGCUGUAGCACCUUGCACAUUGAAGGGCUUCAAGCAACAAACUGGUUCUUUUUUACAUUGAUUUUCUUAUUUUUUUUAAUGUGUUUGAGUGUUUUGCCUGCGUGUGUGUCUGUGCACCACGUGUGUACUUGUCCCUCCGAGGGCAGACGACCUCAUGGGAUGCCCUGGAACUGCAGUUCCAGGCGGUUGUGAGCCAGCAUGUACGUGCUGGAAACAGAACUUGGAUCCCCUGAAAGAGCGACAAGCAACAAGCCGGUUACCAUUCAUCAGCCUUGCCCCGCCUGCCCGUUUGACUCCCUGCUUCAGAUGCGACUUCACAGCGCUGCAGUGAUCCGCAGAGCCUGGAAUCGCGCCUCUCAUCACCUGCUCAGAGGAGGUGCCAAUGACGUGGGUGUUCGUGCGCGAAAUCCAGCGAGAUCUCCCCCUUUCGACUGGUAAAAGCUCCAAAGACAUCAUUAUAGAAAGAAAAGCACGAAGCCUGCGCUCUCUGCCCUUCCCGGCUUCAGGUGCAGUAAGACGGCUUUGGGUAAACAACUAUUCCAACAGUUCUUUAGCCUUCUCCUGGUCGUUAGGUCGCUUUACUUUCGGCAAAGACCCCCACCGCCACCGAAACUGCAACUUUUGAGCAGGCAGUGCCCUCUAGCGCCUGUACUUAAAUAAUAACCUAAACGCUGCCCCUCUUAUCAAAUAUCAAAGCAAAAGCAAAGUCUGCCAAAAAUCAAAUCACGUCUUACUAACCCACUUUUUUUUUUUCAGCUUCACAGUGCUGACAUUUAGGACUUGAUGUUGCCACAAGCCGUCUUGUUCGCUGUGGGAGGCUUAGCAGCAACUCUGGUAUCUACCGACCCCGUGCAGUGCCACUAGGGUCAGGCGUAACAACCAAAAUAUCCAAAGACAUCAUCACUGACGGUCCCCAGGGAGCAAGUCGCCCUGGCUGACUGAGACAAGCGGUUAGAAAACAAAGCCCGUUCUUCUGGCCAAAUACGGGGACUGGGCUGGGCUUGGGGGUGACUUUGUAUAGUACAAAGACACACUGCUUCUUUUGUUUUUAACAUUUAUUUUUUAUGUAUAUGGAUGCCUGCCUGCCCGGCAUCUGUGUGCCACUUCCGUGCAGUGUCCUCGGAGGCCAGAAGGUGGCGUUGGAUCGUCUGGAAAUGGAGUUGCAGAUGGUUGUGAGUAGCCAUGUGGGUCCUCUGGAAGAGCAGCAAAGCUGGCAACCACUGAGAUGUCUCUCCAGCAACAUCCCUUUCCCCUCCCCCCCCCCUUCUUUUAAUGGGGCCUCAUGUAGCCCAGGCUGGCCUCAAACUCACAAAGCUGCCCGUAACUCCCUCUUCCUACUUUGCUUUCGGAGUGCUGGGACUAGAGGAAAUGAGCCAUUCUGCCGGGGGAGGGGGGGUCACUUUCUAGCGGCACGUGUACAUUUAUGCCACUUUAUAAUAUGAUACGUAGUAAUGUCUUUGUACAAUUGUCAAGCUCCUGUUUGAAGAACCUGAAACGGAGGUCCGUUAGCUACCAGCAGUUGUGAUCAGCCCCCUGCCUCCGCUUCAGAAGCCGUUGCUCUACUGAUGUUUCUCCUGGCUCCUCCAUCUCUCUAGCUGACUGCAAUCAGACAGUCUUCUGGACACAUUGUCUAAAACGAUUGCAGGUGGGGUUAAAGAGUUCAAGGUGGGCCAAGUCCCGGCCAGUGCGAUCACAGGAGUCCUCCUGAGUGAAAGAGGGGCACGGGGAGCCCCGAGAAGGAAACAAGAUGAAGAAACCCAAGGUUGGGGGAAGAUGAGGGCUGCUUCAAAAGAAGAACUCAGGAGCCAGGAGUUGUGAUCUGGUCUAGAAGUAAGAAGCAAGGGGAAGGUUCACCCCUAAAUUCUCCAGAAGCAACACAGCCCUGCAGAUGUCUCCAGCUCAAAACGGCCUUGACUCCAAAACUUUAAAAUUGAUUUCUGGUGUUGUAAGUGAUGUUCGGGGGGAAUCUGUUCCAGCAGGAAUAGAAAAUGCAUGUAUGCAGA